ACGCGCGGAACCUUACCAGGUCUUGACAUCCUCUGACACUCCUAGAGAUAGGACGUUCCCCUUCGGGGGACAGAGUGACAGGUGGUGCAUGGUUGUCGUCAGCUCGUGUCGUGAGAUGUUGGGUUAAGUCCCGCAACGAGCGCAACCCUUGAUCUUAGUUGCCAGCAUUUAGUUGGGCACUCUAAGGUGACUGCCGGUGACAAACCGGAGGAAGGUGGGGAUGACGUCAAAUCAUCAUGCCCCUUAUGACCUGGGCUACACACGUGCUACAAUGGAUGGUACAAAGGGCAGCAAAGCGGUGACGCCUAGCGAAUCCCAUAAAACCAUUCUCAGUUCGGAUUGUAGGCUGCAACUCGCCUACAUGAAGCUGGAAUCGCUAGUAAUCGCGGAUCAGCAUGCCGCGGUGAAUACGUUCCCGGGCCUUGUACACACCGCCCGU
rnacentral:rRNA from 1 species